AAACCAUGAUGAGGACACUCUAAGAGGAGGUCUUUGAAACGUUCCAUACACCUAGAAAAUGAUUCAUUUGGUUUUUGACAAAACUCGAGAAUGUCGUUCCUAAGUUU
rfam:Cephalotus follicularis DNA, scaffold: scaffold4749, isolate: St1.